rnacentral:tRNA from 1 species
GGGGACGUAGCUCAGUUGGGAGAGCACCGCUUUUGCAAGGCGGGGGUCGUCGGUUCAAGUCCGAUCGUCUCCA